GCAUCGUGUCGUGACUCUCAGGGUUGGUCUUUCUGUCACAUGGAGAAAGAUAUUAACAGCGUUGGGGACGCUUGAAGCAGGCCUCCAUCACCACCUGCCACCCCGAAGCGCUGACUCAACACCCUGCUGGGAUACAUGUGGUCAGACCUACCUACAGGGAUGGAUUCGUGGUGGUAGAAUGGACCUCCACCAUCCACAAGCAUGAAGCUACCAACAUGAGUUCAAUAUUCCACUUUAACCAGAACUUUAAUCAAGCUUUAAUGGUUUCUACAGGCCAAAUCACCAAAUCCUUACCCUGAUACUGCUGAGCGAAGGCCUAACUCUGCUGCUUCAAUCUAUAGCAGACACCUCUGGCACAAACAAAGACACAUAUACAGACACUCACCUCUCCUCUGCAGAAA